UUCUCUUCAACAACAGAGAGGAGCAGCACAAACACAAACCGGAUUCCCCACUCAGAGCACACAAAAAAAUGGACCCCCCACCCCUCACGAUCGCAUCCUCUUCAACGAGGAGCUCAUACCAUAUGACCCCAUCACCUAUUCACUGAACCUAACAAUUUGCCGGAAAUUAACCUCUCACCCGCAGUUUACCUCACCAGAACUGAAACAAAAGCGAAAAUUAGACCGGAGGAAACAGUAGCCUAACGAAGAGAGGAAUAGAGGAGAAAAUAAUAGCGAAAUUGAACCCCUGAUUUUUAGUUUCUCUGAUCCUUUAAUUUUGAGUUUAAUUCCAUCGGAUUUUUAGCUUGGAUUUGUUCUCGGUUAGUGUUGGUCAGUGGAGUGUUCGGAAGCGAGGUUAUCGUCAAGCUUGUUGUCGAGGUUCUCUGGUCAAAAUCUCGUCGGAUCUGAGUCGACAUGUCUCCGAUCGAGGUCCUUUUUGUAGCUACUAGUUACUAUCUAUUGGCUGUUGUUACUACUAAUUUCAAGGCCAGAUUCAUUUGUAUUGGAUUCCAAACGACAUUAAUCAAAGCUUCGUGCAAGAAGGUUCAAUAUCUUUCUCAUUUUUGUAUCUGUUUGGCUGUCGAUUGGGAAAUGUGAUAAAAGUUAUGCUAAUCCAUAUAUAAACAUAGGUCUGCAAUUAAUUUUAGUUGAGAUUGGAUUCGCGAGUUAGCAUUUAUUCUCGAUUCUCAUUUGGAAAUUGUAUUUGAUAUGUCAUUUUGUUAUUUGGAAUCCUAUAUUCACUGUUCUAAUUUUCCUUGAGCAUGUUUAGUUAACAAAGGCUAAUUUGAACAGUCGUUUUCUUAUUUGCCUUGAGCAUGUUGAAGUAUCUCUUGGGUUAAGAUCUUCUCGAGUUGAAAUGGAUGAUUUGUCCUACUUUAGGAUUGUUUGAAUGAGUCUGAAUCAGCGAUGCACAUUCACAUUGUUUUCUAUUUGGUUCUCUAAUGCUCUAGUAUAAGUGAUUUCAAGUGCCAAAAUAUGUAGGCCGCCUUCUGUUCGGUUCUCUUCGAUGCUUAAAUUGUUCUGUUCUCUUCUUUGGGAUACGCAUACCAGUUUGGGCUUGGAUCUGUUUGAAUAUGGGGCUAUAUAAUUGAAGCUUUUACUAAUUUUUGCAUUGAGCACACUUGUUGUUACAUUUGGAGUCGCAUUUAGAAAAGCUGAUAUUUAGUCUUAAUAUAGAUUUGCAAGAUAAUUUUAUGUUUGCAAUCCAAAAAUGGUAGCUUAGGCGUUCAGUUUAUGUGGAUGGAAUGUUUGGUUCUAUUUAUGUCAUUGUUGCCUAUCAAUUAUUGGACUAUUUGAUCUAGUGUUCGGUCAUUGCGACUGUGAUGCUCGGUGGAUUUGGGAAAGGGAUUUUGGAAAAUGCAAGAUUUAAUCAUAAUGAAAAUCUACACCAUUUUGUUUUGCCCUAGUAUUAUCAUUUCUGCUUUUGUUUGUUAGAUAGUAGUCCUCUAUGCUUUCUUGAAUGUCACAUCUUUGGCGUCGGGCUUGAUUUGUUCGUGAAUUAAUCGAGGUGUGCCAUAAGUAAAUGAGAUCAAUAGUCUAUGACCCUCACGGAUUCAAAAUAAGGAGUUUUAAGAAAAUUAGUUGAGGUGUGCCAUACUUAGCAAAUAUUGUUAUGGCCCUUAAAAAUUUAGUUUGAGUUCUCUUUUAAAAUAGAAUCGAGGUGUGUCGUGCCAUGUAAAAUCAAUUGCAUGGCCUUCAUAUUAAUUAUGUAUUGACCCUUAGAAUCCGAGGCGCGCUAUUUAGCAAAUUCCAUGGCCCCCGCAAAGUGUAGACGCGUAGUUGCUUUAGGCGCGUAUUUAAUAAUAUUACUUUUCUAAUCUCGGGUGUGCAUUUAAGGUGACCCAAAUCAAAUCCCAAAAUGUUGAAUAAAAUGUGUAUGGGAUUGCGGCUGCAUUUCAUGUGGCGAUCCUAAGACAUGUUUUAAACGACGUUCAACUUUCUUAAAAAAAUUAAAUAAAAAGCGAUUAAAAGUUAAAAUCGACACAUAGGUUCAUCAUGUAAUAAAAUUAGAUAAACAAGGUAAACAUGAUAAUUGAGCGACCGUUCUUGAACCACAGAACCCGUGAAUGCCUAACAUCUUCUCCCGGGUUGACAAAAUUCCUUACUCGGAUUCUGGUUCGCGGACUGUUAACAUAGUCAUAUUUUCCUCAGCUCUGGAAUCAACCGGUGACUUGGAACACCAAUAAUCUCCCAAGUGGAGACUCUGAAAUCUUAAUAAUAAAUCCCAUUAUGGAUUGUCCUUUAAUUGAAUUUUUUUUAUGCCUUUGCGGUGUAAUGAAAAAGGAGGUGUGACACUAGGCAUGCUCUUUUAUGAUGGGUAAUCCAGUAGGAAACAUGUAGGAUGCAAAAACUUGAACAAAAUGAGUAUUUGUGUAAAACCCUAAUUAUCCCCUCACUUUUAACCCAGCAUGGCCGUGGUCUUGUUUACACGGUGUGCAUGGCCCCGAUGCGGCGGCGUCCAUUUUUCACGCGGCCCAUGGUAGAAUUGGUUAUGAAAGCUAAGAAUUCCACAGUGCGGCCACAUCUCUAUUUGUGCGGUCCGCGUUGGACCCCACACGAUCGUAUCCCUUCUCACAUGGCCUGCGUUGGUGGGAUUCAGAGAAGCAUACUUUUAGUUGAGAGUCUAUUGUGGCCCGCGGUUAUGAUCACGUGGCUUGCGGUGCCCCCCACCCCCUCAUGCGGCCACAACUCUGUUCACGCGGCCCGGGAUGCUCUUGUUUGAUAAGCUGCCUGCAAUUUUUCUUCUUUAUAUUCUAUAUUAGUUUUCAUCUGUUGAUACACUACACUUUCCUAUACUAAGAAUGUUAGACGUGUUUGUUUUUAGUAAAUGGUUAAAGAAAGAGGACGAGGCACCAAACAACCCGAAAAAAGGUGACCCCUCCCGGGGAGGCAAAGCUAAACUAAACAAACUCACUCCCCGACCAAAACUAAAGACAAGGAAACAGGUUGUGAGUGACGUGGAACAGUCGAGGAGUGAGUACCUUCCCUCUAAGGACAUAUCAGCUGAUUCUAUGCAAGCCCCCACCGUCCCAUCCCGAGAUCUACCUACUACACAACCUGAGUCAUCUGAUGGCUCAGAAGAAGAUAGCGGCAAAUACUCCACCUCCCUCACAGCUUCAGAAUCCGGGGAGAGUGCAGCAGGAGGGACCAAAAGUGAUUAUGAGGUCCCGGAUAGCAGUGUGCCAGGUGUUAGUGGCAAUAAUGGAACUAGAAAGGCUGAAGUGUGGCAGGAUCGGUUUGUGAGCAAGGUGGCUUUUCAUAAAUUCUGAGAGAUAUGGCCCAAAAAGAAGGUGAUUGCAGAUAGAAGAAUAGUCGCCCGGGACUUAUUGCCUAUACUCCCCCGAGUUCACGAACAGUUUCAUACCAAAGUCGGGUGGGAUUUCCUUCAAGAUGAGGUACAGGAUGCCAAUGAACACAUGGUGAAAGAAUUCUGUUGCAAUGUGGCCCACACCAAAGAGGGCUAAAUUGCAACUAAAGUGCGAGAUAAGAACAUCGCGUUUUCUUGACAAGCACUGAAUGAACAUUUGGGUUUUAAUGAUGAGGAUGUCUCCAAGUACAGCGAGAAGUUGGAUUUGAAGGAGGAAGUUCGCCAAUGGUUGGCAGAGUAUUUGGCUCAUCCGGGUACUAUUUCUGAUUGGAUACAGGUGGGGAAAUUUUUUUGAGAAAGAACCUAAACAGAGGCGAGAGGGUGGUUGACGUUCGUAUGUAACAGACUUGACCCCACAUCACAUGACCAGACUAUUCCACUCCCCUAGGUUGUAUUGAUUGCGUCUAUCAUGGAGGGUUUCCCCAUCAAUGUGGGGAAUGUGAUGCACAAGGUGAGCGCGUCGAUUGGGAUUGACUCGACUGGAACUAUCCUUACCUAAGCACUCUCACAAUGUACUUCGAGGAUGCCAAAGUGAAGAAAAAGCUCUAUGAUGUUAAAGUUUGGCCGGUGUCCCCGUUCUCGUGGUUCAGUUUUCAGGGGCCAGACAACCCAAAGGGGACAAGAAAAGCAAAGCAUCCACUUCUGCCCCAACUGACCAGUCUGAGAAGCCAGUUGCAGUAGAGGACUCUGUUGAGCCAUUCAUCCCAACUGCUAUCAUUGUCCAGGAUAUACCCUCCUCCUCUGCGGGUCCCAGUUCUUCAGCUGGCCCAACACUCCCCACUUCCAGAUCCAACCCUAUGAUAGCCUAGCAAUUAGCAAAGACCUUGUCCAUUUUGAACAAAUGGAUGUUAGUCUCGACAUCAAUGUUUUCCAUAUUGGCCACUUCAGUUGCAGCCUAGUCUGCCCCAACCACUAUCCAGAUCCCUCAAUCCAUUGAGGAAACAUUGAAGACGCUCCUGGAUAACAAGGAGAAGAAUAUAGCGACUCAGGAUGCCUUGACUAAGGAUGUUGAUGCACGGGACAAGGCUCUGAAAGAGCAUUCCAAAGAGCAUAAGAAGAUGAGAAAGUCUAGGGCAUCAAAGGAGUCAGUAAAGGUAAUUCAAGUAGAUGUGAACAAGCUAUUGGCGGAUCAGCUACCUUUAGACUUGUUAUUUGGGGAGUCUGCCCCUCCACCAGCAGCAGGACCUGAGCCACAGUAGGAGCAGGCACCCAGGCCUCCAGCGAAGAAGAGGAAGCUACCCAGCACUGAGGGAGUAGUGAUUGAGCUAGCAAAUAUUCAGGAGACUCCCUCCGGUGUUGUACCAGAUGUUUCACCAGUCCAGCAACAGGACCUUGUCCCAGCAGCAGGUGGAAACCAGUCUGAGGUUCCCUCCCACACAUAGGACCAGGGGACCACUUAAGAUCCGAUGCAGACGGACCAGGCCUAGGGAGCCCUCUAUUUCCUUUAUAUGAUUUUAUACUUAUUUUGGUAGUUGGCAUUUAGGGCAUACUAGCUCUUAUUCGUGGGGGUGCGCCCUACUGUUAUAUUUGACAUUUAGAUGAAUGUAUAUAUAGUUGGUACUUAGUUUAUGUUGUUAGAUUUGAUAGUUUGUCACUAUAUAAUAUUAGCUACUUUUCUAUUUUAUGUAUAUAUUCACCCCCCACCCAUUGUAUAUAUUACUCCCCUAAUGCACAUAUUCAUUCGAUUUUUCUAUUUUGUUAAAAAAUUUCAUUUUUAGCAUCGUAGAUAGGCUCGUAGCCUUUUGUUUUGGUUUUGGCAUUUUCAAUAAGCCAUUGGUUUUCUUAAUGCCACGGUUCUUCCCAAGGGUAGAGUGUUGUGCGAAUAGGGUGGAUCUUCCAAAUGAUAGAUGGCGUGACAACCUUCUUAAGGGUUUGAGUCCAUUUUUUUAUUUUGAUAUUUCGUUUUUAAGGGUACCUCAGGGAAAGCUUCACUUGGGCCUAUCGCAUUUGCCUUUGAUCCCAUGGUUAGAGACAUAAUGUUGUGUUUAGGAUGGUGAAAGUCGUGGUCGUGAGAAUCUUGUGUUGAUCAUGUAAUCAUCAUGUGGUCGUGUUGGACCAUUUUGCGCUUGAAUCGUAACUAAGGUCAUUGUGGGCCCUCAACUCGAUAUCUUUUGCAAUAAUCCUUGAGUGCGUGUGGUGAGAAUUCGAAUUGUGAGUCCAAGUCCCAAGCCGAUGGUCUAAAACUUGCCCUGAAUGUUUGUUAAGGUAAAAUCAUAGGUGAAAUUUGACUUGAGAAGUGAUUAUAAGCUCUCGUUGGUCCAAAUAUUAAGUUGAACAAUUCCAUCGCCAUGAUUCCCUAGUUAACCCUUUUGAGCCUUAAACCUUUCUUCUUUCAUGAACCAAAGCUACAAGGCUAUACCCAUUAUUAAUGAGAUUCUAUCUUGGCACCCAAAUCUUCCCUUGAGUAAAUGGAAGAUGUCUAAGUUUGGGUGGAGAGUCAACAAAAGAAACAAUGUGGUAAAAGGUACAAAAUCAAAAGAAAUGAAAGGCAAUCAAAAAGAAAGAAAAGACAAAAAAGAAAGACCAAUGUGAAUAAGAACAAAAAGGGGAUUCAAAGAAAACCAAAGUGAAAAAGGUGUGGAAAAAGUAGAAAAAGGAGAAAUGUGUUGAAUUUCAUGAGAAAGAGUGACAAUGUGUCUCUCUAACCACUUGAAAAAGAACUGAAUACUCUAACGAGUCAAAAAAGUGUUUCAAAAUGAAUCAAAAGAAGUGCUUAAGGAAAGAUUAAACUCACUUGAACAAAAACAUGUCCUACCCUUACCCAAAAGCCUUCACUCCACAAAAGCCUAUAUGAUCUGAGUUCAAGGGAACCUACAUUAGUGGAUACAUACAUAAGAGGAAAGCAUAUGGUACUUAGAGCCAGACUUGUGACCUUUUUCUUGAGAUAGAUGAGUGAAAUUCCAUCAAUUUCAGUUUGUGUAUCAAUAAUCUAAUAGGUGAGGUUCAGUUUGGGAGAGUUGAGGAUGUGUGAGUUUGGGUUCCACAAUGACCAAAGUAAUUGAGAGAAGUUCCUUGAUGAUAUGUGUCACCUCUUGAUGCUCUUGUGUCACACUUGAUCUACAAGUUUUCAAAGUUUAAAAUGUGUUAAUGAUGCUUUCGUAUUGAGGGAAAUUGUUAGUCCCAAUUGAUGCUUUUGAGGUUAUUUUAGGAUAAGCUGGAAUUACUAGGAUGUUCCCUUUAACGGAUAGGUCUUAUUUUGUUUGCUUGAGGAAAAGCAAAGGUUUAAGUUUGGGGGAGCUGAUAAAUAGGAUUUUAACAUGUUUUAUGCCUAUGAUUGCCUAUGCUUUUAGUAUAUUUUGCUACAACAUAGUCCUAAAAUGCUUACAGGCUGUUCUUAAUUACAGGUUUGAGCGACAAAGUGACGAAAUGUCAAAGAUUGGCUCAAAACGGAGUGAAACCUGCUCAAGUGUCAAAAGACCAAUGCGGUGGUGGAAAUCAGAGCUUGGUGUGGUCCGUCAAACUGUGCAUGCGGCCACACCAAAGAGUUCAGAGAGGGCACAAGUUGAGACUGAGUGCACGCAGUCGCGGUUGACUUUAUGCGGCCCGCUUCUAGUUCAUGCGGCUGCACCAUCUUGCCACGCGGUCUGCGCCACAGAGUUCAGAUGAUAUCCAGCUUUGGACAAUGUCAAGCCAC
rnacentral:lncRNA from 1 species